rnacentral:tRNA from 1 species
GCCUGAGUGGCUCAGUUGGUUGAGCGUCUGACUUCAGCUCAGGUCAGGAUCUCACAGUUUGUGAGUUCAAGCCCUGCAUUGGGCU